UUUAGUUUGCACCGUAAACGAUGCCAUCUGGCGAUCCGUCGGCGUUAUGCUUGACUCGACGGGAAGCCUACGGGAAACCUAAGUUGGGUUCCGGGGGAAGUAUGGUUGCAAAGCUGAAACUUAAAGGAAUUGACGGAAGGGCACCACCAGGAGUGGAGCCUGUGGCUUAAUUUGACUCAACACGGGAAAACUCACCCGGCCCGGACACUGUAAGGAUUGACAGAUUGAUAGCUCUUUCUUGAUUCAGUGGGUGGUGGUGCAUGGCCGUUCUUAGUUGGUGGAGCGAUUU
rnacentral:rRNA from 1 species